AAUGAUGGUGUGGUUGGUAAUGAUGGUGUGGUUGGUAAUGAUGGUGUUGAUGGUGUCGUUGGUAAUGAUGGCGUCGUUGGUAAUGAUGUUGUCGUUGGUAAUGAUGGUGUUGAUGGUAAUGAUGGUGUCGUGGUAAUGAUGGUGUGGUUGGUAAUGAUGGUGUGGUUGGUAAUAAUGGUGUGAUUGGUAAUGAUGGUGUUGAUGGUGUCGUUGGUAAUGAUGGUGUCGUUGGUAAUGAUGGUGUCGUUGGUAAUGAUGGUGUCGUUGGUAAUGAUGGUGUCGUUGGUAAUGAUGGUGUCGUGGUAAUGAUGGUGUAGAUGGUGUUGAUGGUGUCGUUGGUAAUGAUGGUGUGGUUGGUAAUGAUGGUAUGGUUGGUAAUGAUGGUGUUGAUGGUGUCGUUGGUAAUGAUGGUGUCGUUGGUAAUGAUGGUGUGGUUGGUAAUGAUGGUGUGUUUGGUAAUGAUGGUGUGGUUGGUAAUGAUGGUGUUGAUGGUGUCGUUGGUAAUGAUGGCGUCGUUGGUAAUGAUGUUGUCGUUGGUAAUGAUGGUGUCGAUGGUAAUGAUGGUGUCGUGGUAAUGAUGGUGUCGUUGGUAAUGAUGGUGUGGUUGGUAAUGAUGGUGUGGUUGGUAAUGAUGGUGUGAUUGCUAAUGAUGGUGUGAUUGGUAAUGAUGGUGUUGAUGGUAAUGAUGGUGUCGUGGUAAUGAUGGUGUGGUUGGUAAUAAUGGUGUGAUUGGUAAUGAUGGUGUUGAUGGUGUCGUUGGUAAUGAUGGUGUCGUUGGUAAUGAUGGUGUCGUUGGUAAUGAUGGUGUCGUGGUAAUGAUGGUGUAGAUGGUGUUGAUGGUGUCGUUGGUAAUGAUGGUGUGGUUGGUAAUGAUGGUGUUGAUGGUGUCGUUGGUAAUAAUGGUGUGAUUGGUAAUGAUGGUGUUGAUGGUGUCGUUGGUAAUGAUGGUGUCGUUGGUAAUGAUGGUGUCGUGGUAAUGAUGGUGUAGAUGGUGUUGAUGGUGUCGUUGGUAAUGAUGGUGUGGUUGGUAAUGAUGGUGUUGAUGGUGUCGUUGGUAAUGAUGGUGUCGUUGGUAAUGAUGGUGUCGUUGGUGUCGUUGGUAAUGAUGGUGUGGUUGGUAAUGAUGGUGUGGUUGGUAAUGAUGGUGUUGAUGGUGUCGUUGGUAAUGAUGGCGUCGUUGGUAAUGAUGGUGUUGAUGGUAAUGAUGGUGUCGUGGUAAUGAUGGUGUCGUUGGUAAUGAUGGUGUGGUUGGUAAUGAUGGUGUGAUUGGUAAUGAUGGUGUUGAUGGUGUCGUUGGUAAUGAUGGUGUCGUUGGUGUCGUUGGUAAUGAUGGUGUGGUUGGUAAUGAUGGUGUUGAUGGUGUCGUUGGUAAUGAUGGUGUCGUUGGUAAUGAUGGUGUCGUUGGUGUGGUUGGUAAUGAUGGUGUGGUUGGUAAUGAUGGUGUUGAUGGUGUUGUUGGUAAUGAUGGCGUCGUUGGUAAUGAUGGCGUCGUUGGUAAUGAUGGCGUCGUUGGUAAUGAUGGCGUCGUUGGUAAUGAUGGUGUCGUUGGUAAUGAUGGUGUGGUUGGUAAUGAUGGUGUGAUUGGUAAUGAUGGUGUUGAUGGUGUCGUUGGUAAUGAUGGUGUCAUUGGUGUCGUUGGUAAUGAUGGUGUGGUUGGUAAUGAUGGUGUUGAUGGUGUUGUUGGUAAUGAUGG
rnacentral:lncRNA from 1 species